rnacentral:rRNA from 1 species
UUGAACGCUGGCGGCAUGCUUUACACAUGCAAGUCGAACGGCAGCGCGGGCUUCGGCCUGGCGGCGAGUGGCGAACGGGUGAGUAAUGCAUCGGAACGUGCCCAGUAGUGGGGGAUAGCCCGGCGAAAGCCGGAUUAAUACCGCAUACGACCUGAGGGUGAAAGCGGGGGACCGAAAGGCCUCGCGCUAUUGGAGCGGCCGAUGUCGGAUUAGCUAGUUGGUGGGGUAAAGGCUUACCAAGGCGACGAUCCGUAGCUGGUCUGAGAGGACGACCAGCCACACUGGGACUGUGACACGGCCCAGACUCCUACGAGAGGCAGCAGUGGGGAAUUUUGGACAAUGGGGGCAACCCUGAUCCAGCCAUGCCGCGUGCGGGAAGAAGGCCUUCGGGUUGUAAACCGCUUUUGUUCGGGAAGAAAUCCUCUGGGCUAAUACCCCGGGGGGAUGACGGUACCGGAAGAAUAAGCACCGGCUAACUACGUG